rnacentral:rRNA from 1 species
AUUGAACGCUGGCGGCAUGCCUUACACAUGCAAGUCGAACGGCAGCACGGGAGCAAUCCUGGUGGCGAGUGGCGAACGGGUGAGUAAUAUAUCGGAACGUGCCCAGUAGUGGGGGAUAGCCCGGCGAAAGCCGGAUUAAUACCGCAUACGACCUGAGGGUGAAAGCGGGGGAUCGCAAGACCUCGCGCUAUUGGAGCGGCCGAUAUCAGAUUAGCUUGUUGGUGGGGUAAAAGCCUACCAAGGCGACGAUCUGUAGCUGGUCUGAGAGGACGACCAGCCACACUGGGACUGAGACACGGCCCAGACUCCUACGGGAGGCAGCAGUGGGGAAUUUUGGACAAUGGGCGCAAGCCUGAUCCAGCCAUGCCGCGUGCGGGAAGAAGGCCUUCGGGUUGUAAACCGCUUUUGUCAGGGAAGAAACGGCUCUUGAUAAUACCGAGAGCUAAUGACGGUACCUGAAGAAUAAGCACCGGCUAACUACGUGCCAGCCGCCGCGGUAA